rnacentral:rRNA from 1 species
GUGCCAGCAGCCGCGGUAAUACCGGCAGCCCGAGUGAUGGCCGAUCUUAUUGGGCCUAAAGCGUCCGUAGCUGGCCAGACAAGUCCGUUGGGAAAUCCACGCGCUCAACGCGUGGGCGUCCAGCGGAAACUAUCUGGCUUGGGGCCGGAAGACUCGAGGGGUACGUCCGGGGUAGGAGUGAAAUCCUGUAAUCCUGGACGGACCACCGGCGGCGAAAGCGCCUCGAGAAGACGGACCCGACAGUGAGGGACGAAAGCCAGGGUCUCGAACCGGAUUAGAUACCCGAGUAGUCC